rnacentral:rRNA from 1 species
GUAGGUGGCAAGCGUUGUCCGGAAUUAUUGGGCGUAAAGCGCGCGCAGGUGGUUUCUUAAGUCUGAUGUGAAAGCCCACGGCUCAACCGUGGAGGGUCAUUGGAAACUGGGGAACUUGAGUGCAGAAGAGGAAAGUGGAAUUCCACGUGUAGCGGUGAAAUGCGUAGAGAUGUGGAGGAACACCAGUGGCGAAGGCGACUUUCUGGUCUGUAACUGACACUGAGGCGCGAAAGCGUGGGGAGCAAACAGGAUUAGAUACCCUGGUAGUCCACGCCGUAAACGAUGAGUGCUAAGUGUUAGGGGGGUUUUCCGCCCCCCUUAGUGCUGCAGCUAACGCAUUAAGCACUCCGCCUGGGAGUACGGCCGCAAGGCUG